rnacentral:lncRNA from 13 species
AUGUGUCCCUUCUCAUUUCCCCCCAAUUCUAGAGGUCUCGGCCGGGUGUGCUCAAGCCCCUCCCCCGCGCGAGGCGGGCAGCGCGCCCUGCUCACCGUGGUCCGCGGCGGCGGCGGCGCAGGCGGGAGCCGGCGGCGGGUGGCCCCGGGCCGCCGGGCGGCUCCUGCGGUCCGGGCGGCAGUUGGUCCAGGAGUUUCGGAUGCUCGGGCUCGGCUCGGCAGAGAGCGUCAGCGUGAAUGGGAGCAAACGACCAGGGCUGUGCGUGGCGCGUGUGGCAGAAAGAAGUCUUGGAGAAGAGAAAGAGAAGAAAAUUACCAUAAAAAAUUGGACAUGAGAGCGUAGAAGUCUAUUAAGACAGAGCUUGGAAGUGGCAUUAGAGGUGCUGUUAACAUUGGGAGUAGUGCUUUCUCUCACUGAG